rnacentral:lncRNA from 1 species
CUGGCUUUUCCAUCAUUUCCCCUCUGUUUUAUCCAGCUGCUGAUGAUUUGGCAGAGAUGUUAACCCAGGGUGGCACCUGAGUGGGUGGAGCAUCCUUAACCCAUGGGUUUGCUUUGCAGAGUUAAGAGUGCAGAGCUGGGAGGAGCUGGAGCACAGGCAUUGCAGCAACACACAGCCCGGCCCAUCUGGACUCAUGGUAGCACCUAAGGCAUGUGUGGGAGGCAUGCAGCACCUCGUUAUCAACCUGCCAGGGCUGGACAGGACAGCUACAGAGCCACAGGCUGCAAAGCAACCUCAUGUGGGAUCGUGCAGCAUGUCCAUGACCAAAAUGCUGCUGUGGUGCUGCAGCUCAGCACAGCUGCCUUGUGCCUGGAUGCUUACACUAAUGGGAGAGAUUCUACUAAUGUGAGUGCCAGUGACAGGCAUCCCCCCAAAGCCAAGAAGAAGGGUUGGAAUGGCAGACUGAAGGAAGAGGAGUGCAUCCCCCUGAGCCCCACAGGGAGCAGCAUCCUACAUGAGCUUACAGAAAUGCUGACUGGCUGUAGGUGCUGAGAAUCCUGUGAAGCCCAGAGGAGCUGUGUAAGCGUGUUCCCCAGCCCAGGACUGCAGUGCAGGACCCAUCACCAGACGGAUGCUUCCAGGUGCUUUUUCACCCUGUCUUCCUCCAUAGCUACUGUGGCAGCUGAGUCCGCCCAGCAAUACCAGGUACUUCAUGCACAGGAAAACAGAACAAACCAAUUUCAGUAAACUAUGUGAGACUCCUGGAGGAUCUUUUUGUUAGGAGUUGAGCAGGCUGUAAAUAACAGAGGCAUUAACAGUAAUUCACACCCCUGGGACAAGCCAUAGAGGAUUACAGCCGCGUGGAACCAUUUGCCUUGAGAAAAAUGACAAAAUUUCCAAGGACUAGAUGGCUUCUUGAGAGAAGAUUUGAAGCUCAGGCUGCACUUGUCUUGAGCCUAUCCGCUAUCAAUUCCAGUUCGUACAAAGACAUUUACUCCUAUUAUUAUUAUACCCCUGCCCUUUCUCGCCCUUGAAGUAUUGGCAUUGUGGCUCUGAAGACAGAUUCAAUUAACAAACCGGAUAGAUGCUGACCUUUCCGGGGUUGUUAUUCUAUCCUUGAUUUGCUUUAGGGGAGAAAUAUUUCUUUCUUGUAUAAAUAUGAAAUAACAAAUAAAUAACCAACAAUUGAUUUGUAGUUUCA